CGUUAGUCGUGUCCGGUCGGUCGAGUUUCGAGCCGCGACUUCACAGUGCUCGAUGCGCAGAGCAAGGGAGAAAUUUAGCGAAUGAGGAACUGAAGUGAAGAAAAAUAAAAUUCAGAAACUGAUUGUGUGUUUCCGAAUUGCGAGGUGUGAUUUAUAAAGCAGCAGCAAGAAAGACGAUCACGGUUGGAUUGUUCCUGCGCCAUAUGGAUCGGGGGUCUUGGGGUGGUGAUUUGUUUAUUUUCGACAUGUUCCACUGAAAUUGAUUAUUAUAUGGUUGGAGCCUGAGUGCUAAUUGAGUGCUUGGAAAGUUAUAUUUACACGACGAAGUCACGUGUUUCAAGGGGGUGAUGUGUGAUACAAUGUGCCUUAUCUGGAAGUGAUUAUAUUAAAAGGGUUUUGAAUGUUUAAAUGUUGGUGCAGUACAAGAUAAAAAAGCUACACUACCUACUCUAACCCGCCGAUAUCAAGUGUUUGCUUGGGUGCAUCGAAUUCGAUGGAGACGCAUGGCUGCCAGUAGCUGAAAUUGUGGAUUACUAGCAUUCAGAAGGAGCAGUUCCGAGGAAAUGACGAAAAUCUCUAAGCUUAGUAGAGCACUAGGUGCUCUUCCAAACAAUAAGAUGCGAUUAUGCUGCAAGUGUCCUGAU